UGAGUACGAGAUGCUACGGCAUCGAAGCAGUCUAUGUCAUACUUCCAAGAAAAGCUUGCACUGUCAUAAACAAAGAAUGCCUGUACCAUAACCGACACAGGUGGGUAGGUAGAGUAUACUAAGGGGCGCGAGAUAACUCUCUCUAAGGAACUCGGCAAAAUGACUCCGUAACUUCGGGAGAAGGAGUGCCUUAUUUAUAAGGUUGCAAUAACAAGAUCCAAGCAACUGUUUAUCAAAAACACAGGUCUCCGCUAAGUCGUAAGACGAUGUAUGGGGGCUGACGCCUGCCCAGUGCCAGAAGGUUAAAGAAGUUGGUUAGUGUAUGCGAAGCUGAUGACUGAAGCCCUGGUGAACGGCGGCCGUAACAAUAACGGUCCUAAGGUAGCGAAAUUCCUUGUCGGGUAAGUUCCGACCCGCACGAAAGGCGUAAUGAUUUGGAUACUGUCUCGGAGAGAGGCUCGGUGAAAUAGACUUGUCUGUGAAGAUGCGGACUACCUGCACCAGGACAGAAAGACCCUAUGAAGCUUUAUUGUAACUUGAAAUUGGAAUUGGACUUUGCUUGCGCAGUAUAGGUGGGAAGCGUUGAAGAUAUUCUUGCGGGAGUAUUGGAGCUAUCAGUGAGAUACCACUCUUGUAAUGUUAGAUUUCUAACUUUGAACCAUAAUCUGGUCAAAGAACAGUUUCAGGUGGGCAGUUUGACUGGGGCGGUCGCCUCCCAAAUGGUAACGGAGGCGUACAAAGGUUUCCUCUGAACGGAUAGAAAUCGUAUCUAGAGUGUAAAGGCAUAAGGAAGCUUGACUGUGAGACCUACAAGUCGAGCAGGGACGAAAGUCGGUCUUAGUGAUCUGACGGUACUGAGUGGAAAGGCCGUCACUCAACGGAUAAAAGUUACUCUAAGGAUAACAGGCUGAUCUCCCCCAAGAGUUCACAUCGACGGGGAGGUUUGGCACCUCGAUGUCGGCUCAUCGCAUCCUGGGGCGGUAGUACGUCCCAAGGGUUGGGCUGUUCGCCCAUGAAAGCGGUACGCGAGCUGGGUUCAGAACGUCGUGAGACAGUUCGGUCCAUAUCCGGUGUAGGCGUUAGAAUAUUGAGAGGAGCCUUCUUUAGUACGAGAGGACCGAGAAGGACACACCGCUGGUGUACCAGUUAUCGUGCCAACGGUAAACGCUGGGUAGCUAUGUGUGGAGUGGAUAACCGCUGAAAGCAUCUAAGUGGGAAGCCCACCUCAAGAUGAGUAUUCU
rnacentral:rRNA from 1 species